CCUACGGGUGGCAGCAGUGAGGAAUAUUGGUCAAUGGACGAGAGUCUGAACCAGCCAAGUAGCGUGAAGGAUGACUGCCCUAUGGGUUGUAAACUUCUUUUAUAUGGGAAUAAAAUGUUCCACGUGUGGGAUUUUGUAUGUACAAUAUUAAUAAGGAUCGGCUAACUCCGUGCCAGCAGCCGCGGUAAUACGGAGGAUCCGAGCGUUAUCCGGAUUUAUUGGGUUUAAAGGGAGCGUAGGUGGAUUGGUAAGUCAGUUGUGAAAGUUUGCGGCUCAACCGUAAAAUUGCAGUUGAAACUGGCAGUCUUGAGUACAGUAGAGGUGGGCGGAAUUCGUGGUGUAGCGGUGAAAUGCUUAGAUAUCACGAAGAACUCCGAUUGCGAAGGCAGUUCACUGGACUGCAACUGACACUGAGGCUCGAAAGUGUGGGUAUCAAACAGGAUUAGAUACCCCUGUAGUC
rnacentral:rRNA from 1 species